rnacentral:rRNA from 1 species
CAUCUAUUUGACUUAAACCAAUACUCUUCGGAGUUAUCAUGGUGAUUCAGGAUAACUAAGCGAAUCGCAGAGCCUUCGGGCGGCGAUGAUUCAUUCAAGUUUCUGCCCCAUCAGUUGUCGAUGGUAGGGUAUUGGCCUACCAUGACUUUCACGGGUGACGGAGAAUUAGGGUUCGGUUCCGGAGAGGGAGCCUGAGAGACGGCUACCACAUCUAAGGAAGGCAGCAGGCGCGUAAACUACUCAAUGCUAAAUCUGCGAAGUGGUGACGAGAAAUAACAAAAGGGAGCGCUUUGCGUUUUCUAUUUGGAAUGAGAGCAAUCUAAAAACCUCAUCGAGGAUCAAUUGAAGGGCAAGUCUGGUGCCAGCAGCCGCGGUAAUUCCAGCUUCAAGAGCGAAUACUAAUUUUGCUGCAGUUGAAAAGCUCGUAGUCGAAUUUCUGGUAGGAGUGACCUGGCCCUGGGGUGAAUGCCCCUUGUUGCUGUGUGUUAUCUCUGGCCAUCCUCCUCUUUCUUUUAGGAAGAGGUCAUUUACUGUAAAAAAAUUAGAGUGUUUCAAACAAAUUAAUGAAUUGGAAUA